GAUGAACGCUAGCUACAGGCUUAACACAUGCAAGUCGAGGGGCAGCAUGGUCUUAGCUUGCUAAGGCCGAUGGCGACCGGCGCACGGGUGAGUAACACGUAUCCAACCUGCCGUCUACUCUUGGACAGCCUUCUGAAAGGAAGAUUAAUACAAGAUGGCAUCAUGAGUCCGCAUGUUCACAUGAUUAAAGGUAUUCCGGUAGACGAUGGGGAUGCGUUCCAUUAGAUAGUAGGCGGGGUAACGGCCCACCUAGUCUUCGAUGGAUAGGGGUUCUGAGAGGAAGGUCCCCCACAUUGGAACUGAGACACGGUCCAAACUCCUACGGGAGGCAGCAGUGAGGAAUAUUGGUCAAUGGGCGAGAGCCUGAACCAGCCAAGUAGCGUGAAGGAUGACUGCCCUAUGGGUUGUAAACUUCUUUUAUAAAGGAAUAAAGUCGGGUAUGGAUACCCGUUUGCAUGUACUUUAUGAAUAAGGAUCGGCUAACUCCGUGCCAGCAGCCGCGGUAAUACGGAGGAUCCGAGCGUUAUCCGGAUUUAUUGGGUUUAAAGGGAGCGUAGAUGGAUGUUUAAGUCAGUUGUGAAAGUUUGCGGCUCAACCGUAAAAUUGCAGUUGAUACUGGAUAUCUUGAGUGCAGUUGAGGCAGGCGGAAUUCGUGGUGUAGCGGUGAAAUGCUUAGAUAUCACGAAGAACUCCGAUUGCGAAGGCAGCCUGCUAAGCUGCAACUGACAUUGAGGCUCGAAAGUGUGGGUAUCAAACAGGAUUAGAUACCCUGGUAGUCCACACGGUAAACGAUGAAUACUCGCUGUUUGCGAUAUACUGCAAGCGGCCAAGCGAAAGCGUUAAGUAUUCCACCUGGGGAGUACGCCGGCAACGGUGAAACUCAAAGGAAUUGACGGGGGCCCGCACAAGCGGAGGAACAUGUGGUUUAAUUCGAUGAUACGCGAGGAACCUUACCCGGGCUUAAAUUGCAGAUGAAUUACGGUGAAAGCCGUAAGCCGCAAGGCAUCUGUGAAGGUGCUGCAUGGUUGUCGUCAGCUCGUGCCGUGAGGUGUCGGCUUAAGUGCCAUAACGAGCGCAACCCUUGUUGUCAGUUACUAACAGGUUCCGCUGAGGACUCUGACAAGACUGCCAUCGUAAGAUGUGAGGAAGGUGGGGAUGACGUCAAAUCAGCACGGCCCUUACGUCCGGGGCUACACACGUGUUACAAUGGGGGGUACAGAGGGCCGCUACCACGCGAGUGGAUGCCAAUCCCCAAAACCUCUCUCAGUUCGGACUGGAGUCUGCAACCCGACUCCACGAAGCUGGAUUCGCUAGUAAUCGCGCAUCAGCCACGGCGCGGUGAAUACGUUCCCGGGCCUUGUACACACCGCCCGUCAAGCCAUGGGAGCCGGGGGUACCUGAAGUGCGUAACCGCGAGGAGCGCCCUAGGGUAAAACUGGUG
rnacentral:rRNA from 1 species